rnacentral:rRNA from 1 species
UACGUAGGGCGCAAGCGUUAUCCGGAAUUAUUGGGCGUAAAGAGCCCGUAGGCGGUCUGUCGCGUCGGCUGUGAAAACCCGGGGCUCAACCCCGGGCCUGCAGUCGAUACGGGCAGACUAGAGUGCGGUAGGGGAGACUGGAAUUCCUGGUGUAGCGGUGAAAUGCGCAGAUAUCAGGAGGAACACCGGUGGCGAAGGCGGGUCUCUGGGCCGUAACUGACGCUGAGGAGCGAAAGCGUGGGGAGCGAACAGG